GGCACGAUCGAGUGGCUGAAAUCGUUAAGAAAGUGCUUAAACGGCCGCAGGCUACUGUGCUCUCCUCCUCUCGCCGCCGCUUGGGACCUUCAGGGUGGUGAGGAAUCGCAUUUGGACGGCAAGGGCUAGAGUUAUCGGGCUGGGCUGGGGAAUACGCAGCAGCGACCAGGAAAAACUGAGGUUGUUCGGCUGAGAGAAGGAGGAGCUUUCAUUGCUCUCGGCUGAGUGAAAUCGAAUGAAGAGGGGAGCUUUGGGAGUUAUUUUCAGAGUAGUUCGGCUUGGAGAAAGAAAGAAUCGGUCACGGGCUGUUGGUGUGCAGAGUGUAUGGAAAUGACAAACUUUGUGGAGGUAUUGUUGAAUUAAAGCUACCACCAUGCCUUCAGAAUAAUAAAGCCUCGAGGAAGAAUCACACUUUAACUGUGAAACUAGCAACGAUCAUCCCAAUAACUUGUAUCAUUCUAUUAUUUAUCCUUUCAACAUGGAGAAGAAGAAUGUCAAACAAGCUUCCUUUGAUAGAGAGACUUGAGAAAGAUCAGAAUCAUGUACAAGUUUCUUAUGCUGAGCUCCGAAGAGCAACUAAUGGGUUCUCAUCACAUAAUUUAAUUGGAAGAGGAAGUUUUGGUUCUGUCUACAUUGGAAAUU